UACGGAGGGUGCGAGCGUUGUCCGGAAUCAUUGGGCGUAAAGGGCGCGUAGGUGGCCCGGUCAGUUCGUGGUGAAAGCGCGGGGCUCAACCCUGCGUCGGCCAUGAAUACUGCCGCGGCUGGAGCACUGUAGAGGCAGGCGGAAUUCCGAGUGUAGAGGUGAAAUUCGUAGAUAUUCGGAAGAACACCAGUGGCGAAGGCGACUUACUGGACACAUAUUGACGCUGAGGUGCGAAAGCGUGGGGAGCAAACAGG
rnacentral:rRNA from 1 species